GCGCGAAGGACCCUAAGAUUGGGCAAUUAAGCAGAAACUGCAGUUUUAGUAUGAAGAACGGAGGUGGAAGAACAAGCCGAAUCAGAAGACGAAAACUCUUCACAAGUUCUGAAUCAAGAGGAGUGAAUGAGAGCUACAAGCCUGAAUUUAUAGAGCUUAAGAAGUGGCUGAAAGAUAGGAAGUUUGAAGAUACAAACUUAAUACCUGCUCGUUUUCCAGGUACAGGAAGAGGGCUGAUGAGCAAAAGAUCCCUACGGGAGGGACAGAUGAUUAUCUCAUUGCCUGAGAGUUGCCUGCUCACCACGGACACAGUGCUUAGAAGCUACUUAGGGGCGUAUAUUGCUAAGUGGCAGCCUCCUCCAUCUCCUGUGCUGGCCCUUUGCACCUUUUUAGUUUCAGAAAAGCAUGCUGGGGACCGGUCUCCGUGGAAGCCUUACCUGGAGGUUUUGCCCAAGGCCUACACCUGCCCUGUUUGUUUGGAGCCAGAAGUGGUGAAUCUUCUUCCCAAACCUCUGAAAGCAAAGGCCAGAGAGCAGAGAACCCACGUGCAGGAGUUCGUUUCUUCCUCCAGAGACUUUUUCUCUUCCCUGCAGCCUCUGUUUUCGGAGCCCGUUGAGAGCAUCUUUAGCCGCGGCGCCCUCCUGUGGGCUUGGUGCACCGUCAACACCAGGGCCGUGUACAUGAGGCGCGCGCCGAGGCGGUGCUUUUCCGCAGAGCCGGACACCUGCGUGCUCGCCCCGUUCCUCGAUCUGCUGAACCACAGCCCUGACGCCCAGGUAACAGCAGCAUUUAAUGAGGAAACUCGCUGUUACGAAAUUAGAACAGCUGUGAGCUGUGGAAAACACAAAGAGGUGCUCAUCUGCUAUGGCCCUCACGAUAACCACCGCCUGCUCCUCGAGUAUGGAUUUGUUUCCACCCGCAAUCCUCAUGCUUGUGUUUAUGUCUCAAAAGAUAUACUUGUUAAAUAUCUUCCAUCAACAGAUAAAUGGAUGAACCAAAAGAUUUCCAUUUUAGAGGAUCACGACUUUAUAGAAAAUUUGACGUUUGGAUGGGAUGGACCGUCUUGGCGGUUACUCACAGCUCUUAAGUUGUUAUGUCUGGAAGCUGAAGAAUUGACAUGCUGGAAAAAAGUACUUAUUGGGGAAAUGAUUUCAGAUACAAAUGAGAAGGCAAGUUUGGACAUAGCCCAGAAAAUAUGCCUUUAUUUCAUCAAGGAGAGUAAGGCUGUGCUUCAAAAGGUUUCUCAUAUGAAAGAUGAAGUGGCGGCUUUGGUAAACCAACUAACUCUGGUAGAAACACUGUGGACAGAAGAGCUGAAGAUUCUCCAGGCCUCUGCUGAGACCCUGACCAGUUUGCAAACAGCUUUUACGUAACUUCACCAAAGUGCGGGUGAUCACCUCCAAUGCUGGGAGCCUGUACUGGCCCACAGGAACCAGACUUCUUUAUCACCAGUCGACUCACCUUCAGUACAUGAUAGCACGUUUGGCCAAGGUUGACGGACUGGAAAGCAGGAUCCAGUGGAUCACCUACCGAAGGAGGUGGAGAAGGAGGAAAUACUAAGCCAUGAAGAUCAUUGAUAUUUCCUGAAAUUAUAUUGCUAUUUCCUGUCUGAAGAGCUGUGAGGGUAUGUCUCUAGAACACUGCUCCUAAAAAUGGAGACCCUGACGGAAGCCCAGAGAAAUUAAGCAACAUACUCUCCUUCCGACAAGCUUUCCAGAACCUCGAAUUCCCAGCGUUAAGUAUGGUGACUCGAAGAAACUUGGAGCUGUGACAAGAUAGAGAUGGCACAUCCAAAGAAUGGGUUCGAAAUGGUGAACGAUUAAUGAUACCAUUGUCCUCCCAGCCCAUCCUAUGAGAAGAACCAUCCAUUUCCUCAAUUGCUCUGACCAGGAUUGGCCCUGUGCAUUAUGUAAGGGCACCAAAAGUGUAACUUGUUGCUAUUUGAUAAAGACGUUCUGCCAGCCCCUUACCUCCAGGGAAAUAAUAACCCAAUGAAAUAAGAUAUCUGAUUCAAGAGGGAAAAUUACAUGGCUUAAAAGAAAUCAGGAGGCAGAGUCAAGAUGGCAGUGUGGGAAGACGUGGAGUUCGUGUCUCGCCACAACUAGGGUGCCUUCCGGAAGCUGGUGGGGGAUCCUGACACCCAAGGACAUGGAAGAACCCCCAAGCAAACCGGUCCAGACUUUCCCGGACUCCCUCCCGGCUAGCUGUGGUGCACUAGCCCCCUUCAGGCUGUGUUUACGCAGCCAACCCCAGUCCUCUCCCUGGGAUCCGAUCUCUGAAGCCCGAGCCUCAGCUCCCAGCCCCUGCCCACCCCGGCAGGUGAGGAAAAUGAGACUCAGAGAAAUUAAACAGUUUGAUGAACCACACUAGGCACUGGGCCAGACCUGAGUGUCCCCAGGAGAAAGGAAGAUUCUCUGACUUUGCUUGGCUCACAGCCUGAAGGGACAGAGACUGAACCAACCAUCUCAUAAGCAGGAAGGCAGCUGUCUACAAUCCAGGAAGAGAGCUCCCACCAGAAACUGACCAUGCUGGCUCCUUGAUCUUGGACUUCUAGACUCGAGAGCUACAACUGAGAUGCUGAGUGCCAUUUUUAAAGGAGGAACUCUUCGCUUUACAACAGCAUUUUAUGUUGACGACCAGGCCAGAAAUGUGGAAAACACCCUUUCCCACCAUCUUCCAUUAAGAGAAAAGAGAAUUUGUGUUACUACUUGAAAAAUCAACUGCUUAAUCUUCGACUGAAAUUCCAGUCAGUAAAAUUAAUGGAGAGUGGGACAAUUUCACUAGAAACACCCCACGUCCUGAUUUGGUUGAAGUGUGAGGUGGCAAUGUCCCAAGAAAUGAGGGCAGGUCUUCUCUAAGCUCCUACAGGGCACCAGCAAAAACAAUGAUUUGAACCUCAGAGGGCACUUGGACAGGUGACUGAACAUUGCCGGAGUUGGCCUCGGGAUGUUUAAAAUGAAUAAAGACAAAUGAAUGAAAAUGCUGGCUUUUGGGCUGAGGAAAUGCAGAUGGAAACUCCAAACCUGGAAGAAAGAGCAACCUAUUCUGCGCAAAGCUUGACAAGGCUGGGUGCGUCUCUUCUUGGGGGAGGGAGCCGUGGGUGCAGGCAAUCCUCUUUAAUUUUCUUAGGGUAGAGUAGAGAAGCAUUCUGCUGUGGAGCUGAAGAUUUUUCUUUUCCUGUUCCUCUUGUUCAGAAAAAACUAUGUGUGAAUCAAGACAAUUGUCAUGUUACUGUCACAUCAUCCCCUGACUCUCAGUCCUACAUGAGCUAUUUUGGAGUCUUAGGAAGAGGCCUUGCGGCAGAACAGACUGUACAUGGAGUGAGGGGCCUACAGAAUUGUCAGAGGGCUGGAGGAGGGGCUCCAGGGUGGUCAUCUGGGGGACUCCAAGAACAAGUUGGGGCACUGGCCCUCUAGGGGAGCCACUACCUGGUACUGGAGGGGACUAGGAGACCACCAGUGAA